GACGAACGCUGGCGGCGUGCUUAACACAUGCAAGUCGAACGGUAAGGCCCCUUCGGGGGUACACGAGUGGCGAACGGGUGAGUAACACGUGAGCAACCUGCCCUUGACUCUGGAAUAACAGUUGGAAACAGCUGCUAAUACUGGAUAUUCAUCGUCUCCUUCCUGGGGGGUGGUGGAAAGCUCCGGCGGUCAGGGAUGGGCUCGCGGCCUAUCAGCUUGUUGGUGAGGUAAUGGCUCACCAAGGCUUCGACGGGUAGCCGGCCUGAGAGGGCGACCGGCCACACUGGGACUGAGAUACGGCCCAGACUCCUACGGGAGGCAGCAGUGGGGAAUAUUGCACAAUGGGCGCAAGCCUGAUGCAGCAACGCCGCGUGCGGGAUGACGGCCUUCGGGUUGUAAACCGCUUUCAGUAGGGACGAAGGGUGGCUGACGGUACCUACAGAAGAAGGACCGGCUAACUACGUG
rnacentral:rRNA from 1 species